UACGUAGGGACCGAGCGUUGUCCGGAAUCAUUGGGCGUAAAGAGCGUGUAGGCGGCUGUACAAGUCAAAGGUGAAAUCCCUCGGCUCAACUGAGGAACUGCCUUUGAAACUGUACGGCUUGAGGCCGGGAGGGGGUAGCGGAAUUCCCAGUGUAGCGGUGAAAUGCGUAGAUACUGGGAGGAACACCAGUGGCGAAGGCGGCUACCUGGACCGGUUCUGACGCUGAGGCGCGAAAGCGUGGGUAGCAAACAGG
rnacentral:rRNA from 1 species